ensembl:lncRNA
CACUUUUUGCCUCUUGCAGAGCUUUCCUUCAGUGAGUGCAUUUUUCUUCUCCUUUUCCUGCUAGAAAAAGUCUGCAAUAAUUUGCCACAAGAUGUGCUAUCAUUUAAAUGCAAAUGCAAAUGAAAUACUAACUGGGAAUCAUAGGUUCCUAGAUUCCCGGCCCCUCCUGCUUUCUAUUUGCUGCUAUUUUCUUAGUGUUAAAGAAAUGAUUCUUUGGAUAGUGCCCAUCUUCAGAUGAACCCAGAGCAUUGGACAAAGGACACGAAACCAGAACAUCAAAUGAGAACCACCCCAUCCUUCAACUCAAUAUCGAUGUCUCCGACCUCUGUCAAUACCCAGUGAAUCUUAGGAUCAGUAGCUU